rnacentral:rRNA from 1 species
GCAAUUGUACGGCGAAACUGCGAAUGGCUCAUUAAAUCAGUUAUAGUUUAUUUUAAAUUUCCUUACUACUUGGAUAACCGUGGUAAUUCUAGAGCUAAUACAUGCUAAAAUGCCCGACCCCUGGGAGGGCUGUAUUUAUUAGAUAAAAAACCAUCCCCUUCGGGGUCUUUGGUGAUUCAUAAUAACUUUACGGAUCGCAUGGCCUUGUGCCGGCGACU